AAGGAUCAUUAUCGAGUUUUGAACGGGUUGUCUGCUGGCUCGCGAGAGCAUGUGCACGCCUGUCUUCAUCCACUCUCCACUUCUGUGCACUUUUCAUAGGCCGGCUUGUGGGUGCACGUUCGCGUGUGUCUGUAGGUCUGGUUUAUGCUUUAUACUACAAACGAAUCAGUUUUAGAAUGUCAUACUUUGCUAUAACGCAAUUAUAUACAACUUUCAGCAACGGAU
rnacentral:misc_RNA from 1 species